UGCCAAGGAAAUGCUUAGUUUGAAUGAAAAUCGCAUUUUAGCGGCUCGCAUAUCACUAGCGCACUUCAAACCGACCGCCUCGGAAGGGACUUGUGAUGUAGCAUUUGCCAUGCCCACCCUAUACUGCGGGCAGCUGCCAUUGAAGCUUCUUGC
rnacentral:lncRNA from 1 species